UGGACCCUGGCCUGGCCUCUGGACAGCAAGCCAACAUGACUUGGUGGCCAUGAACUGUAGCAAAUAUAGCCAGUGGUCUGCACUUGACUGCAGAGGUUGGUCCGGAGUAUCUCUUUAGAGCUGUGGUCAUUGCUCCAAGGAAGCGCUUCCUCUGUUACUGGAGAAGAGCAAAAUAACAGCACAGACUGGAAAGGGAUACGCCAUCAAGAUCAAAAGAGGGACCUGCAAGGCAGAGGACUCGAGGUGCCAAUUGUCGUUUGUGCCUGCUUGCAUACAAGGUUCAGAAGAAGUGGCUAAGUAUCGGGGCAGAGUCUGGCAAGUUCUCCACUUCGAUAGAGAUGUUUCUCCUGGCAAUGAAGAGAUAAAUUCAAAGUCCCAUUAUGGUACAGGAUGCCAGAAAUAAAGAAGAGUUGAG
rnacentral:lncRNA from 1 species